AGUACGCUAUGUGAAUCAUCGAAUCUUUGAACGCACUUUGCACCUUGUGGCUUUUGUCACAAGGUAUACUUGUUUGAGUAUCCAAAACUACCUCACCUCCCUUUCGGGGCGAAGUGGACUUGAGACUCGAUGCAUGUCGUUAUUUAUAUAUAUAUAUCAAUGACGACACGUCGUUUCUUUAAAGGUGGUGGUCAUCAUUUAUUGUGGAAGGUCUCCGUCUGGAGCCUGACAGACUAUUGGGAUAACAUCCUGACGAUCGUUUGUCGGUUCUAUUGUAUUAUAGGCGUUGACUGACCUAGACCAACAGUAUGAAGACAGUCUGUCACAGGAUAUGGCUUCACGUCUUUUAUAUUGACAUCAUCAUGAUGUCAAUGUCAAUGGACAAGUGUCAAUGGAUCUCAAAUCAAGUAAGGAUACCCGCUGAACUUAAGCAUAUCAAUAAGCGGAGG
rnacentral:rRNA from 1 species